UGGGGAAUAUUGCGCAAUGGGGGCAACCCUGACGCAGCAACGCCGCGUGAAGGAUGAAGGUUUUCGGAUUGUAAACUUCUUUUGUCAAGGACGAAGAAAGUGACGGUACUUGACGAAUAAGCCACGGCUAACUACGUGCCAGCAGCCGCGGUAAUACGUAGGUGGCAAGCGUUGUCCGGAUUUACUGGGUGUAAAGGGCGAGUAGGCGGGUUUGCAAGUCAGAUGUGAAAUACCGGGGCUUAACCCCGGGCUGCAUUUGAAACUGUAGAUCUUGAGUGUGGAGAGGCAGGCGGAAUUCCCGGUGUAGCGAUGGAAUGCGUAGAUAUCGGGAGGAACACCAGUGGCGAAGGCGGCCUGCUGGACAUUAACUGACGCUGAGGAGCGAAAGCGUGGGGAGCAAACAGGAUUAGAUACCC
rnacentral:rRNA from 1 species